GAUCCUGGCUUAGGAUGAACGCUAGCGGCAGGCUUAACACAUGCAAGUCGAGGGGCAUCGGGAGUAGCAAUACUUGCCGGCGACCGGCGCAAGGGUGCGUAACGCGUGAGCAACAUGCCCGUAUCAGGGGGAUAAUCCAUGGAAACGUGGUCUAAUACCCCAUAGUAAUUAUGUAAGGCAUCUUAUAUAAUUUAAAGCUUUGGUGGAUACGGAUUGGCUCGCGUGACAUUAGCUGGAUGGUAAGGUAACGGCUUACCAUGGCUACGAUGUCUAGGGGUUCUGAGAGGAAGGUCCCCCACACUGGAACUGAGACACGGUCCAGACUCCUACGGGAGGCAGCAGUGAGGAAUAUUGGACAAUGGAUGGAAAUCUGAUCCAGCCAUGCCGCGUGCAAGGAAGACGGCCCUAUGGGUUGUAAACUGCUUUUGUAUGGGAGCAAUAAGGGCUACGUGUAGUCCGAUGAGAGUACCAUACGAAUAAGCACCGGCUAACUCCGUGCCAGCCGCCGC
rnacentral:rRNA from 1 species